rnacentral:rRNA from 1 species
CUUGGACACACCAGCCUGAGUGUGACUGAGCUCAUCUGAUUUCAGAAGUUAAGUAGGAUCCCACCUGGUCAGUAUUCAGACGGGAAUAGUCCUCUAAGAAUGGCCGUGUCCACGU